rnacentral:rRNA from 1 species
CCUGGCUCAGAUUGAACGCUGGCGGCGUGCUUAACACAUGCAAGUCGAGCGAGAAAGCUCUCUUCGGAGAGUGAGUAGAGCGGCGCACGGGUGAGUAACGCGUGGAUAAUCUGCCCUGAAGAUCGGGAUAACAGUUGGAAACGGCUGCUAAUACCGUAUAAUCUGCAUAUUUAACUCUAUGUGGGAAAGAUGGCCUCUAUUUAUACGCUAUCGCUUUUGGAUGAGUCCGCGUCUCAUUAGCUUGUUGGUGGGGUAAUGGCCUACCAAGGCAACGAUGAGUAGCUGGUCUGAGAGGAUGAUCAGCCACACUGGGACUGAAACACGGCCCAGACUCCUACGGGAGGCAGCAGUGGGGAAUAUUGCGCAAUGGGGGAAACCCUGACGCAGCGACGCCGCGUGUAGGAAGAAGGCCUUCGGGUCGUAAACUACUGUCAAGAGGGAAGAAACCGUAGAGCAUUAAUACGGCUCUACGA